rnacentral:rRNA from 1 species
CAGUCGCCGCGGGAAUACAGAGGGUGCAAGCGUUAAUCGGAAUUACUGGGCGUAAAGCGCGCGUAGGUGGUUUGUUAAGUUGGAUGUGAAAGCCCCGGGCUCAACCUGGGAACUGCAUCCAAAACUGGCAAGCUAGAGUAUGGUAGAGGGUGGUGGAAUUUCCUGUGUAGCGGUGAAAUGCGUAGAUAUAGGAAGGAACACCAGUGGCGAAGGCGACCACCUGGACUGAUACUGACACUGAGGUGCUAAAGCGUGGGGAGCAAACAGGAUUAGAGACCCCAGUAGUCCCUGUCUCUUAUAC